CCUACGGGUGGCAGCAGUGGGGAAUAUUGGGCAAUGGGCGCAAGCCUGACCCAGCAACGCCGCGUGAAGGAAGAAGGCCCUCGGGUUGUCAACUUCUUUUGUCAGGGACGAAGAAAGUGACGGUACCUGACGAAUAAGCCACGGCUAACUACGUGCAAGCAGCCGCGGGAAUACGUGGGUGGCAAGCGUUAUCCGGAUUUACUGGGUGUAAAGGGCGUGUAGGCGGGACUGCAAGGCAGAUGUGGAAUUCCAGGGCUCAAACCUGGAAGUGCAUUUGAAACUGGAGUUCUUGAGUGGUGGAGAGGCAGGCGGAAGUCCGUGUGUAGCGGUGAAAUGCGUAGAUAUACGGAAGAACACCAGUGGCGAAGGCAGCCUGCUGGACAUUAACUGACGCUGAGGCACGAAAGCGUGGGGAGCGAACAGGAUUAGAUACCCUGGUAGUC
rnacentral:rRNA from 1 species